UGGCUCAGUCGGUAGAGCAUGUGACUCUUGAUCUCGGGUUUAUGAGUUCAAGUCCCAU
rnacentral:tRNA from 1 species